AAUUGAAAAAAAAAAAAAGAAAAAAAAAAACUUACACUAGCUGAUUUGACAUUACUACGGUACACGCGUACAAUACAAACGUUCGCAAUUAUAUCAUAUAAGAGCCCCACCUUUGACAUAUUCUGUGAAGGCCAACGCAACCAAACCCAACAUAGCAAAUCUCCCAUUCCACAGCUCCGCGUCGGAUGUCAUGAAUCCAUCUGAUUUUGACUCUACGCUUACCCCUUUAAACAAGGGGAUUAGAGACGCGAGAGAGAGCACGACACUUGUUCCUACAAACCAUGUGACUCCACCGUUGGAUAUCUGGGCAAACAGAUCGUGGCCCUUGGAUAACUCCACUGCCAUUGCAGCAACAAAACCAAUCAUGGCCAGCCUACCGUUAAUCCUCUCUGGAGCUGGCCCACUGAAUGCCAACACGUCCGAGAACUUCGUACUCACCUUUAGAGCAGGAGUCGGGGCAGGGGGGGUGGCUACAGAUUCCGGUUGUGUUUGCCGCUUCUUUUGAUUUUCCUGCAACUUUUCAUCUCCCU
rnacentral:misc_RNA from 1 species